AUUUAUGGCUUCUACUCUGGAAAAAGAAAAUAGCUGAAUGAGAGGAGAUGAGAGAGGCUCUGAGCAAUGAGGCAGGGGACUGUCCAGAGUGAGAAUCAAGUGGAGAUAGCCAAGACUCAUUUGCCACUGGAACUUCAUUCCCUGCAUGCUGGAACUGUUUCUUCCUGUCUCACAGUGGUCUUUGACAUCUCCUCUGGGCCAUAUUGAAAGACCUGAGCUGAUUGGAACUGCUGAAUCUGUAGGGAGGAUUUCAACAGAGCUCUGAGUUACUGGGACAUGGGAGGUGUGCAAGGAGUGGGGAGGAAAAUUCUAGCCCUUCCCCUUCCCUUUGGCAGGCGCUCACUGCGAGCCUGGAAAUGAUCUUGGUGAUGGAGCUGAGACACAUGAAUUUACUGAGGGCAGGAGUGAAAGGCAAUUUGGUGCAGAUUUUGUAACAGAGAGGAGGCUUGGAAGAUGGUUAAUGUGACAACAAUUGCUGAGAAGGUCCCCAGGAGUGAAAUGGAGAACUGCAGACCGUCACAUUGGAGUCUGUACUGAGCAAAUCAGAAGCUCUGGCCUCAAACUGCUCUGGGUGAAGACAGUAGCUGAAGCAAUUACUGAAGCAUUAGUGACUGUCCUGGAAGUUCUUGGAAGGGCAGCAGGAUGGAACUGGCAAUGCUGUGGCUGAGGGAGGUAGAGGUUAGCAGCUGAGGGCUGGAGCAGGAGCCACAUCCUCGAGUUGCAGCAGCGCAGUUUGAUGCUGUGGUUGUGCCAGGGCUGCUGGGAGAAGAGCUGGACUGGCUGAAAACUGCAGUCCUCUCAAGCUGGUGGAAGAGCUACGGAUGCUUGCUGCUAACUGCUUUUUCACCUCUUGUCCACCCCUCCACCAGCCGCUUGGGGCCACCAUUUUAGACUUCAGCUGGAGCUGCAAAGCGUUAGUGAUCUUGUUUUCCAGAGAUCGUAUUUGAAGUAGAAAGAACUGGAUUUUGCCUUCAUUUACGCCUCAAGGAGCUGCCACAGGGGGAGGGGCCAGUGUUUGCCAGCUUGCUCUGCUCCCUGCAGCCCUCACUGGGGAGCCGCGCCACAGGAAAUGCUGAGCAGAAAUCAGGCAUGAGAGCAUCGUGCUGGGUUGGUUUUGCUCUUGGAAACAGAAGGUGGAGCAAGCCACAACUGAGACAAGCUGUUUAGGCUGAAUCACCACUUUGCUGUUGGGAAGAGCUGAGAUGUAAAACUGCCAGAACUUAUUUGUGUCUUCUGCUACCUACAUUACCCAAACGUGCACUCACCUCCUCAGGUGCAGGCUGACAGUGCCUGCUGGGAGCUGCAGCCAGUGUCAGGGUCUGCAAUGAAAGCAGGAUCCAUGCCAAGCAGGAUGAAGGACUCCAAGGGGUCACAGCAGAGAGCUGCAUCUAUGAGAGCAUCCUGGAGCCACUGGCCACAUGGUGCUGACAUCUGAGAAGAUUUUUCUGGUGAUUUUUCACCAUGCUGUUCACUGCUGACACCGCCUUCCUCACUGCAGGUGCAUCUACUGCUUGUGUGAGAUUUUACGCUGUCUCAUUUGGAUUGUAUCUCAAGGAGGAUUUAGAGGAGCUUGCAAGCUGGAAAUCUGCUGACUUCCCAAAGCUCGCAGGCAGCACUCUUCCCCUGCAUGUGACAUGUGCAUCGCCCUCACAUUCAGAGGAUGGCUCACAGCUGCUGUGACUGCAACCAGGAUGUAUCUGGGGCUGAGAGUUGCCCAUGGGAGCCAGGAGGGGAGCAGUUUGCUGUUGUGCACCAUCUCUAGUCUCUUCAGGGAACUGCCAAUUCUGCAUUUCCUUACAGCAUAUUUCCAUCCAAGAGAGCUUCUCCACAGCUUCCCUGAUCUGUCAGACGCUCAUUAUUUUGUUAUUUCCAUUCUCCUGUGUGAUUGUGCUGGUGGGAAGAGACACUCAGCCAGGCUGAACCCCAGAGUGACAAUGAUGUCUGAAGCACAACUUUGAUAUGGUGCAAGACUCUAAACUGAGGACAGUCAUCCCUAGAAACACCUCCCAGCCUCGAUGCCUCAAGAGUCAGUCUUCUCCAGGUCUUCCCAGCUCUAUCAUCACUCAAAGAUGCAGGAAGAAGAUCCUGCAGGGCACUGUGGAAAGAUCUGCAUCCAGCAGUACUGUUCGGACAGUCGUAUUCGACCAUCAUUUCCCAAAUGUGUGCAUGCCGUGAGGUGUUCAGCUGCUGCUCGGGAUGUCGCCACCAAGGGGAGCAUCCCUCCUUGGGACACUGAUCUCUGCACUCCUGAUGCUGAAUUAUUCUGGGAAGGAGCAUCUGGAAAACAAAUUAGUGAGGUGUUUUUACCAGAAAAUCCAGUGGCAACAGAUACCUGCAAGCAACAGGGCCCAGAGACUUGUACUUCCCUAUUCUGACGAGUGAGCUUGAGGUUUGCCAGCACCUCUUGGCGAGCAGGAAGCCUCCAGCUGUGUUAUUAGCUCUUUUGACAUGGCAAUUGCUCCAAAGGAGUUUCUCCAUCCUCCCUAGCUUUGCCUUAGUUGAAGGCUGAGAAGCCCCUGGCCGCCACCCAUUCCAAUACAUCUUGCAGGUAAUCCAUAGUUUCCUAGGUCAGAGAAGACUCUCAGCAGCAAUCCUCUACUCUUAAAGUCAAUCCCCUUUGCUAGUUGGAAAAUGGCUGCAGCACAAUCUAGUGUUCUGCCUUGGGUGAAGUCAGCCAACUUUACACUCUCAAGGUCUUCAUCCGAAGCAGAAGUAAUGCAGCAAAAUGGACUCAACCAAGAAGUUGUUGACAAUACCAAGACUUGGAGGAAUUAAAGUAAAUGACCAAAGUAAUUUUUUUGGCAGAGUACUCAAUCUCAAAGGACUGUGUGCUGUCCUUUCUUCCCAGGGCAUAUUCUGGGAUAGAUCUUCAAGAGUAAUCUACAGUCAUCUUGAGCCAUCCCCUACUGCCCACAGCAAAACUGUCUGACCAAAACUUCAGGUAGAACGUACCAGCUCAACGUGCUCAAGAUAUACCACCCAAAGGACUGACACCACCGGUAGGACCAAAAGAAUGAUGUGUUCAGCAUGCUCAGGUUGGACUUCAUGCCCACAGGCAGCUGGUUUAUCCUCAUGGGACAAAUCCUGCAUUGCCCAGGAAACACACUGUGCCAAUCCAUCGUGGAUGAGAGAACACAUCCAUGCAUGGAUCCUGAGGACUAACCCUGUUCCUUUCUCCAGGCGCCUGGGAACUUUGGCCACACACACAUACAGACCAGCCAGGUACUGCAGGAAGCAGCAGGAUGAUAGAUUGCAGCUGCAAGCUAAGACGUACACACACAAAACCCAUUUUUUUCUCUGCAAGGUUCAACCAUUUUUGCUCCAUCUGAGGCUUGAAUCCAGGUUCUCCUGCCUGGCAGCCAGGGAUGCUGGAAGCGGCUCAAUAUUAAGCCUCAGGAAUGGGGGCUCAGGUUCUGUUCCCCAGCCUAGGGCAGUGCUGGUAAAGACCUUCCCUCACCCAGGCGCCUGGGAAGCUUUUGGCUGCUGCUGGCAUUGGCGCAGAAAGCAAGAAGACAUUUACUUCCAGGAACAGAUGCAAACACAGGGAAUUGCCAAUUGGCCAAAAUCAAAUACAACCUGACCUCUGAUGAUCUGGAGCCUUACUACUUUCAAACAACACUGCACUCAAUGUUGGCAAUAUAACAGUUUACCUUGGAGACCCAAGGGCUAAAGGAGAAAUGAAACCUGAAGCUGCUGGGGAUGUUGCUUUCCCACUGUUUCUAUUACUGAUAACAGGCCAGCAAAACCCCAUAAGGUCCUUGAGCUUGAAGAGAACCUGCUUGCACCUUCUUCCCAGGGUUUUGUGCCAAAGUACCCCAAAACUUAAGAGCUGGGUUUUAUCAGAACACCCGAACUUCUUUAAAUAUAGAAAGUAGGGAAUGAGCUGGAUGUUCUACCCCGGGAGGAAGGUCCUUUCUUUUGGGUUUCCUUUCAGUCCUGCAAACUCCCAGCUAUCCCCUGGAUCGUCAUAAAGCCUUGCUGCCCCCAGAAAAGCCCCUUUCUUUCCUUUGAAGGGGAGCUGACACCCACAGGGAACAAACCCUAAGUCAGAAAUAAUGGGAGUCCUUUGAAAAAAGAACCCAAUAAUGUCUGAGUCUGAAUAUAACCACAAGGAAAAAAAUGGGAACUUAUCUGCAAUAUGCACCCCCUCCCAACCAAAUUAAUACCCUGGACCAGAGCCUUGUCCAGAAGCAGUGUAAAUAUCUCAGCAACUCAUUACCUUGUUAAUUGGAUCACUCCAAGCUUUUUGGAACCAGUCUAAAGCACAGGCAAAUCCAUUAAAAAAUGGAUUUCUUAUUUCUCUAUAGCUGUCUCUAGCUUUAUUCCUUUUUCUAUUAAACAUUGGCUAGAGUAACUUUUCCCUUUACCUCAGCUCUUUCCCAGCAAGGCAUUUCCUACAUUUUGGAUGUGUGUCCCUCUUCCUGCCCCAGAGGUGCUGUGUGGGUGCUGGUAGGGUACGCUGGGAGCAAUAACCCUCCUCCUGCCAAACUGCCUCUCCUCAUCCUGUUCCCACAUCCUGGGGUCUCCCUCAUUUGGAUGCUCCAACCCCAGCACAGAGGAGAAAUGCAUCUAGGGGAAUUCUGAGCUGCACUUUGCACUUUUUGCCUAAGAACCUAAAGAUGUGUGGGGAGGAACCAACACAUUGCUUCCAUCCCCUGUCCAAACCUUUCACUUCCCAAGGCAUCCACAUGCUUGCCUGCUGAUUAAGAGCACAAGGGCCACCGUGUGAGAUUGGACACGACAGCAGCAUAAGGGGAGCCAUAUGCUCCACCAGGAGAGGAGCAUACAGUGAUUAGGAGAGGGGCUGGUGCCCAGGGCCAUGGCUGAUGCUACAGAGAUGUGGAUGCUGCUCCCCUCACAACUCAGCCUUUCCUACCCUCAAGGACCUCACCGUGGGCAGCACAAGGAGGUGGCAUCCAUGCACCUCCCAUUUCUGCACACAGGGAGGCCUCCAUUUGUUUUUCCAGGACCCAGCAGCCCAGCCUUCUCCUCGCCCUAUGAAAAAAAUCACUUGGCCUCCCUGCAGCAUCAGCAGCGCUGGGUGACGGGACUCAGGGCUCCUGCUUCAGGCGUCCUCAAAGUGCCACCAUGUCCCUAAGGCAGAGCACAGUCAGGGCCAGGCAAAAAGUCCUCCCGCAAUUGUGCUAAAACAUUCUAACAGCCAAGAACCAUUUUCUGCAUGGUGGGUCAAGCAGUAAAGCUGUUGAAUAGACAGGGCCAGGAGCUGGUGUAGAAUGUAGCAGCACAGAAUGCCUUUUUCCCAGCAGCUGUGGUGGUCAGGGAAGUCCUUAAGCCCCUUCACUGCUUUUCUGGCAGCACCUUCCCACAUCUGUGGGUCUGCACAGUGAACUGUAUCACUGGCACAGCUGGAGUUAAUUUUGACUUCUGAAAGAGGGAAGGAGGAUUAUGUUUAUAUAUAUAUGCAUAUAAUAAUGUGUAUUUUUAAACACAGGAAAUCCUGGUCCCUCCCUGGGGCUCAGCUGGAUGGGUCGCAGGGCCAAAGGAAAUGCUCUGCAGCAACGCCCUGCAUGCCAAGCACUUUACCAGGGCACGUUUUUGCAGCUCUUGAGCUCCUUAUGCAGCUCUUGGGCUCCAGCCUGCAAAGCACUCCACGAUGUGGUGGGGAUAAAACAUGGUGAACAUGGUUGGCACUGUGCUGCUGGUUGCACACCCUGAGGUCUCACCACAUCAAGCCUCGUGCUGAUGCUGAUGCUUGGCCAUCCAGCUACCAUCCUGAGGGGAGCACAGACCCAUCCCCACCUCCUUCCACUCACCUCAACACCUCUCCAGUGUCCAGAUAAAGGAAACAGCAGAUGGCGUCCCACACAGAGCUGGUUCUACCCCUCUCUGUACCCAGCAGGUCAGCAGUAUCACAGCAGAUCACUGUGGUCUCCUCCAGCUGCCUCCACCACAUUCCAGGACCCUCAAAUCCAGCAGCAUGGAAAAACCUGCAAGAUGACAGAGAGCCCUCUUAUUCCUGCCGUAAUUAAUCCCUUUGGAAUUCAAUUAAUGAGCUCCCCGCUGCAGCUAUCAAGCCUCCAUCAGUUAGGCAAACAGGCGUGCAAGCCAGUCUGGGUCUGUACGAGCACAAGACAAAUAUUUCACCAUGUUCAAAUAGAGCCUGUCCUUCUGCACCCUGUGCAGCUCAGCUUUAAGGUGUUGCCCACUGGUGGGAACUUCAGGGCUCAGUUGGUGAUUGGAAGAACCUGUGCCUCUCACCCAUCCUGACCUGAGAGCAUCUGCCAUGGAAAUGGGCCAGGAUAUGCACCAGUGAUGGUGAACAACAGCCAACACCGCUGGUGCUGGAUGAUGCCUUAUUUUUAUGGUUUUCUGUCUCUUUUUACACAUUUAGUUGUGCUGGAAGUGUGGCCACUGCUAUGUUCUGAGCUGCUCUCCUGGGAUUUUGGAAGUGGGGAAGCGUGAUUCAGGCCACGCAUUGCAGGGCACCCAAUUUCAAACCCCAGCUGCUGCAGUCUCAUCAGCUUCCCAAACAAGCUGGCUCAAAGAGCAGCCGUCCCUGGCUGCUUGUCCACUGCCGGUGCCUACCAGGACCCAGCAGCCCCAUGUGUGUGGGGAUGAACAAGCAGCAGCUGCGGCUCCAAUCUGGGGAGCUCAUCCCAGGGGUGCAGGUGAUGGAGCACCCCACUCCCGCUGCAGUGCUGGGAACCACAUGCUCCCACCACGAUGGAUAUUUCCCAUCAGCACACUUUAUUCAAAAUGAAACCCAUUAUGGCAAAGAAAAAAAAAUAAUCUUUAAUGAUUAUACUGCAUCAACAUGAAUGAUGUCACGUGUCCAGACUGCCUCGAAAAGCACUAAGUUGCCAAAAGAUGGUGAAUGUGUUCAAUAUGGAGUGAGAGGGACCAGAAGAGAGGCUAAAACUGAAACUUCCCAGCUACGCUGUUGAUGCAUUUUCUUAUUUUCUUUUGUUGAACAGUGUGCUCUGUUUUGUUUCAAACACAGUGUUAUUGCAGUGGGGUUCUGUUAGGCCCUGGGGGAUGCAUGGAAUUUAGCAGAACCUGCAUCCCCGCUCCCACCCCUCACUUGACCAGGACGACCUGCAGCUUGGGCUUGGUGCAGAUGUAGACCAAGAACCUGUUGGCUCCGUGUAACCUUGUAUCAUGGCUAUAUAUUUAUGCCAUACAAAACCUAUAGCAAAAAAAGAUCUAUCCGUUUAAUUAGUGAAUCUUGUGCAAUUCUUGAAAGCGGUGCCCUCACACACUGGUGGCUUUGCCCUGGGGGAAGUUUGGGGUCAGUCCAGCUGUUCCCACCGUUGCUCGGUGUCACGAUCCAGCACACAGCUAACACAAGAUCCUGAUGAAAUGCAGAUGGCAAUGCCAGAAAGCACUGGCGUGAGGCAUGGAUGCCAAGCAGCAAUUUGUUCUCUGUCAAACACAGCCUCCCCAGCCUGGCCAAGCAAGAAGUGCUGCGUUAUGGGGGUGAGGGCAUUAUUUCUUAAAUAUGGCCUUUUAGAACCCAAAUUUUCACGUUUGUACACUCAUAUUUUGCGGUAGAGGUGGAGUGCAUCAUUUCCCUGGUUAAACAUCAUUUCGUUUGUGUUGCGUGUGGAUUUAUAAUGAAACGAGGGUCACAGCGACCCUGGUAAUCUUAUGGCUAUUUUGCCAAUAUUCUCCUUGAGUCACGGCGAUUUGACCGAGGGGAAAAUCCUGAAUGUCCAGAAUAACCCACAGCCUCACAAAGCACGAACCAAACCUUCCUCAUCACCUCCCACCCACUGCCACCCAACAAAUCAAAAUGUCUCACGACUUUUUUGGAGAAUAACAAAGGCAAUAAACUUCUACAUCAAAGGCAAACCCCAGGCUCCCAAACUGCUUUUGGAAAUGCAUCUUUUAUCCAAGCUCAUAAGAAGUACCACACCACCUCCUUUCCCCCCACCCCUCCCUCAUUCCUGUAAAAUAUUUAGCGCUUUUUCUUCCCAAAUUUAUAAACAAGUUGGCUGAUUGUGCUGAUGAAAACAGGUUUAAAAAUUAAUUGAAAGCCUUUAAAAAUUAAUAAUUAUUUCAGCUAAUUAAGGGUGGCAGCUUAACAUCUUUUAAACUGUUAACAAUUUGGUAACUGCUGUGUGCUUGCUGUUGGAAUAGAAAAUGGUGGGGACUGUGAGCUGAAAAAAUGUUGUAUUAGUGUUUUAGACCCUGAGCAGGUUUUGGGCCCUUCUGCGUCGUCUGCGUUAUUAUUGGCAGCAAUACCACAUCUAUCAAAAAAUGGAUCUCUACCAUCAUCAUUUUGCUGGGAUUUCUCAUGUUCCAGAUAAUUUAAAAUGCUUUCUUGUUGUCCGUAACACAUUCGGAUACGGAUUUUUUAAAUGGAUACUUUCACUUCUCUCAUCAAUUGUUCUUUAUUUCAUAGCAUCUGAUUUUUAAUCACAACCAUUACCUUCCCCCUUUUCCUGAUUUGUUACUUAUUAUCUGCAGCUUGGCUCGCUCCUCUCGCUUCCAUUUUUUGCCAGGAUUUGUUGUGAUCUUUCCUUUGUGAUCAUCAUAAAUACGCUUGUCAGGAAGGAACCGAAACAAAGAACAUUUAUAGCUCUGAGAAUUUGAGAGUUUUCUGUUUUCCAAUAAAUCAGUUGGCAGAGCUGUAAAAACGUGCAGCAUGUGUGAGAACUGACUGUUGGGUUUGGCUGUAAGGGCUUCCAACUCUUUAUUGUAGCUGAAUUGGGCAGUUGAUACCCGUGGCAUCUCUUGCAAUUGCAGAGCCCCUCAGCAGGGGAUACUAUGGACCUUGGCCCAACCUCAGCACCAAAAACCACCUGGCUGUACCCUACAAUGCAAAAGAGCCUGUAUUUAGAAUCAUGGAAUUGGGGUUGGAAGAGAUCAUCCAGUCCAGCCAUCAGCCUGUCCCACCGUGCCUGCUAACCAUGUCCUCAAGUGCCACAUCUCCAUGGUUCUUGAGCACUUGCUGGGAUGGUUACUCCACCAUUUCAGCCCUAAAUCCCAUGCUACGUACUAAAGGCAGCCCUCUGUUUCCAGUUCAGACCUGCUGUGCCAUGCAGACCUCCUCCUGCUCUGAGCUCGCAUUGCAGCUUGGCCCCGCUCUCCCAUCUCACGAGUUUCCUGAUGGAUUCCUCCACAAAGCUUCAAACCAGAACUGGAGUUAAGAGGAGCCAACAGUCCGUAUGGGGAGGUGCUGCAAGGCCAGCGGGACCCGAGGCAUCCCACUGCACCUCCCUGUGAUGCUCUUCCUUACGCUGCUCAGUUACUCCAGAGCCCAUCCAGACUCUACAGUGCCCUUUGGCAGAAGUUUAAUUAUGCAAAAUCGUUAUGAAAAAGCAUUUCUUUUGCCUGGUUCACAUGCCCUCCUUCUUGCCAGCCGCUCCCAGCCCUCAUCUUUGCCGCCUUCCUCUGCGUCAACCCUUCUUUCUCAUUUCCUCUCUUUGCUUUCCAGUGGAGGGAACAGAUUUGUGAGCAGUAUUUAAGUAGCAGGUGAAUUAUUGAUCUACUCAAUGACAGAUUGAUCUCUUCUGUUGUGUUUAACACUUUUAUUUUCCUCUAAAAAUUUCCACGCUCAAUUUACUUUUUAGGCCAUCACAGAUCGCUGAGGCGAUGUUUUCAUAACAUGAUGGCUAUGCGAGGUCCAGGUUAUCUUUCCCGGGCAGUAACAGCUCAUUGAAGGCUCACGACUAUUUAAAGUACAAAUGGAUGGCUUCACCCACGCUCAUCAUUUUGCACAUUUCCUGGAUUCCCUCUUAUUUUGCUGUCCAGAGGCGUUCGGCUGCAGCUUCUCACUAUCAGCUCUGACUGUUGAGGUGUUUGGGGCCCCAUUCAGUACUAUUCCAUUUUGCACAUUCAGCUCUGAUCCCACACCUCGACCCUCCCCUGCCCUGCACAGCUCCUGCUGCCGAGGUGAUAGACAAAAAGGGUCAAUUAUGGGAUUUCUAUACCUUAGAAAGCUGCUAAUAAAAAAAGGGCUCUCCUUUAUCGUAGUUUUAAGCUUAAUUUGUCAUCUUGUGCUCUUCUUUAUUUUCCUCAUUUGGACACGACUUCCACUUUCUGGAGGAUACUAUUUUACCUCUGACAAACUCCUUUAGUCUAUUCUUUAAUGAGAACAGCUAAUUUUUUGCCCUUUUAAAGUCUCUUUUGAUAAUUGUAUAGAUCUGCUCUCAUCAUCUAAUAGAAGAUCUUUAAACAAUGUCUAUGUCCCCUGGAAGAAUUUUACCCUUUUGACAACUGCUUUUUAAUUCUUUUUAACAAGCUCACCACUUUAAUGUGGAUCGCCUUUUUGAAAUGAAGUCGCAAU